rnacentral:lncRNA from 1 species
GGCAGCGGCCGUUACACCGCGGCGCGCCCCAAGCACGCAUGCACACUGCUUCACCCCCCCCUUGUCCUUUACCCCGCGGGCCGCCAUUCGCUGGGCGCCCAGCCCGCCUCCCCGGCCUCUCACUGCCGGCCCUGCGCAUGUGUUGUAGGAGGGGGAGCGUUACCUAUACAAAUAACACAUUUUAAGAAGUCAAGCCCCAAGGAACUGUUAGGUGGAAAUAUAUUGCCAGGACUGGUUGUGGAAUUGUCAUCCCUGGAGCUUCAGCUGUCCAAAGUCAUGUUUGAGUGUCACUUUUGUCCUGAGGCUGGACAGGGAUCCUCUCUGGCCUGCAUUUCAAGUUUUUAUAGUAGUUGGU